GCCCAGCUAGCUCAGUCGGUAGGGCCCGAGACUCUUAAUCUCAGGGUCACAGGUUCGAGCCCCACGUUGGGCG
rfam:Ficedula albicollis isolate OC2 chromosome 20, whole genome shotgun sequence.